rnacentral:rRNA from 1 species
GUGGCUCUGAGUGCUUAUUGCACCACAUGUGUUUUUCUUUGAAACAAACUUGCUUUGGCGGUGGGCCCAGCCUGCCGCCAGAGGUCUAAACUUACAACCAAUUUUUUAUCAACUUGUCACACCAGAUUAUUACUAAUAGUCAAAACUUUCAACAACGGAUCUCUUGGUUCUCGCAUCGAUGAAGAACGCAGCGAAAUGCGAUACGUAAUAUGAAUUGCAGAUAUUCGUGAAUCAUCGAAUCUUUGAACGCACAUUGCGCCCUCUGGUAUUCCGGAGGGCAUGCCUGUUUGAGCGUCGUUUCUCCCUCAAACCGCUGGGUUUGGUGUUGAGCAAUACGACUUGGGUUUGCUUGAAAGACGGUAGUGGUAAGGCGGGAUCGCUUUGACAAUGGCUUAGGUCUAACCAAAAACAUUGCUUGCGGCGGCAACGUCUACCACGUAUAUCUUCAAACUUUGACCUCAAAUCAGGUAGGACUACCCGCUGAACUUAAGCAUAUCAAAAGGCGGAGGAA